AUUGAACGCUGGCGGCAGGCUUAACACAUGCAAGUCGAGCGGAGAUGAGGUGCUUGCACCUUAUCUUAGCGGCGGACGGGUGAGUAAUGCUUAGGAAUCUGCCUAUUAGUGGGGGACAACAUUCCGAAAGGAAUGCUAAUACCGCAUACGUCCUACGGGAGAAAGCAGGGGAUCUUCGGACCUUGCGCUAAUAGAUGAGCCUAAGUCGGAUUAGCUAGUUGGUGGGGUAAAGGCCUACCAAGGCGACGAUCUGUAGCGGGUCUGAGAGGAUGAUCCGCCACACUGGGACUGAGACACGGCCCAGACUCCUACGGGAGGCAGCAGUGGGGAAUAUUGGACAGUGGGGGAAACCCUGAUCCAGCCAUGCCGCGUGUGUGAAGAAGGCCUUAUGGUUGUAAAGCACUUUGAGCGAGGAGGAGGCUACUGAGACUAAUACUCUUGGAUAGUGGACGUUACUCGCAGAAUAAGCACCGGCUAACUCUGUGCCAGCCGCCGCGGUAAAAC
rnacentral:rRNA from 1 species